rnacentral:lncRNA from 1 species
AAGGCUAUUCCAAUAAGCGGGUUCGGCUAUAUCGACAAGACCAAAACAAACUUAAAAAACAUAUAUUUUUCAGUUGCAACGAAUGUAAGGAACCAAUUGGAGGCAACUCACAUAGAUUGUUAUCUACGAAUCAAGUAGCAACAGAAAUGGAUGGAGCAAGAUAUGGAGCUUGGUCAGAACAAGCAAACAUGAAUAAUUAUGUUUUAGAUUAAGGUGGUUAUAGAAGCAUAUUAUAACAAGAAAUGCAUAGGUAUUUGGACACUAUAACCAUAACAUCGAAGAAAUAUGUUACUGCAAUUGUUUUAAAUAAAAAUAUUAAUUAUUGUUACUUUAGAUUUAUGUUCUAUUCAACAAAUAAAGUAUUUUAAUUGUC